rnacentral:rRNA from 1 species
UACGGGGGGAGCAAGCGUUGUUCGGAUUUACUGGGCGUAAAGGGCGCGUAGGCGGCCACCGCAAGUCGACUGUGAAAUCUCCGGGCUUAACCCGGAAAGGUCAGCCGAUACUGCGGGGCUAGAGUGCAGAAGGGGCAACUGGAAUUCUCGGUGUAGCGGUGAAAUGCGUAGAUAUCGAGAGGAACACCUGCAGCGAAGGCGGGUUGCUGGGCUGACACUGACGCUGAUGCGCGAAAGCUAGGGUAGCAAACGGG